rnacentral:rRNA from 1 species
GCCUACGGGGCGCAGCAGUGAGGAAUAUUGGUCAAUGGUCGGGAGACUGAACCAGCCAAGCCGCGUGAGGGAUGAAGGUACAGAGUAUCGUAAACCUCUUUUGUCAGGGAACAAAGGCGGGGACGUGUCCCCGGAUGAGUGUACCUGAAGAAAAAGCAUCGGCUAACUCCGUGCCAGCAGCCGCGGUAAUACGGAGGAUGCGAGCGUUAUCCGGAUUUAUUGGGUUUAAAGGGUGCGCGGGCGGUCUGUUAAGUCAGCGGUCAAAGCCCGGGGCUCAACCCCGGCCCGCCGGUGAAACUGGCAGU